rnacentral:lncRNA from 1 species
CAGAGUUUCUCAGAAGACCUGAUCCGUUUCUUUGUGUGAGCCUGGGAUUUGUCCCAGUUCUUGCGUCACACACUGGGAGCUGUGGACAAGUGAUACUCAUAGGACGGCUUUAUGAUGUAGUCUGCAGGGUCUUCUGUGUGUCAGAGUUUGAUUGGGAAGUCUGGUCUCAAAUGGACGUCACGUUUCUCAAGCUCGCGUCUACAAACAUCUGCUUCUCAUCUCAUUGUCAUCUCACUCACGCAAGUGACAGUUGGAUGACAUGACCAUAUUUUAAGGAAUAUAAGAUGGAUGAGGAAUGGCAAGCUCUCAGUAUAAAGCAAAGGAAUAACUAGGAUCACCUAAAUAGAGAGGGCGCCGUAUUCAUGAAGAAAUGAAGGCCAUGUGGAGGACUGCCAUCCAAGCAUUUCCUCUCCAUCCACGUGGCUUACAUUGCAAUGUGAAGAGUCCAUUAGCAGAGCUCACAGCAAACUGACAGAGUCAAUAUUAGCAUAGAACACACACAAGGACGGUCAGCCGCACAUGAGGCGGCCCAGUGUGUCUUAUUGAUGCAGUGUAAAUAGAGCGACUGUAAAUGUUAAUACAGCAAAGUUUUUAUUAGUCGUUCAUUCUGUAAUUAUGCCAGUGAGUCUGGCCAGCAACCAAAAGCUUUUGAUUAAUGAUCAUGUUUAAAUGAACUAAUAGCAAUGUGGCAGAAAAGGACAGUUAUGGUCUAUUUGUGGUAAAGAUUGUAAUUUAAUAAGUUUAAGUAAACAUGAAACAGAAAUUUCUUCUUUAUUGUGUCAGUAAAAUGGGGUUCAACAUUUGCUGGUCUCCAUUGAAAUCCAUAGUAUGGAAGAAAACAAAACAAAAAAAACUUUAAGAAAGUCAAUGGGAACAUUAACUGUGUUUGAGGUUGAGUAUUUUUAUUUUUGGAUGAUAUAUCCCUUUAAUAUAUAAAGUCCUGGCAGAAAAUUACCAGUACAUUUUCUGUUUGUCUACAUUUUAUUUUCUUAUGGUGGG